CCUACGGGGGGCAGCAGUGGGGAAUAUUGCACAAUGGGGGAAACCCUGAUGCAGCAACGCCGCGUGAGCGAUGAAGGCCUUCGGGUCGUAAAGCUCUGUCCUAAGGGAAGAAUACUGACGGUACCUUAGGAGGAAGCCCCGGCUAACUACGAGCCAGCAGCCGAGGUAAUACGUAGGUGGCUAGCGUUAUCCGGAAUUACUGGGCGUAAAGGUUGCGUAGGCGGCGCUUCAAGUCAUAGGUGAAAGGCUACGGCUCAACCGUAGUAAGACUUUGAAACUGUAGGGCUUGAGUGCAGGAGAGGAGAGUUGAAUUCCCAGUGUAGCGGUGAAAUGCGUAUAUAUUGGGAGUAACACCAGUUGCGAAGGCGGCUCUCUGGACUGUAACUGACGCUGAGGCACGAAAGCGUGGGGAUCGAACAGGAUUAGAUACCCCAGUAGUC
rnacentral:rRNA from 1 species